CCUACGGGAGGCUGCAGUGAGGAAUAUUGGUCAAUGGACGGAAGUCUGAACCAGCCAUGCCGCGUGCAGGAAGACGGCUCUAUGAGUUGUAAACUGCUUUUGUACAAGGGUAAACCUGAAUACGUGUAUUCAGCUGAAAGUACUGUACGAAUAAGGAUCGGCUAACUCCGUGCCAGCAGCCGCGGUAAUACGGAGGAUCCAAGCGUUAUCCGGAUUUAUUGGGUUUAAAGGGUGCGUAGGCGGAUUGAUAAGUUAGAGGUGAAAUGUCCGGGCUUAACUCGGGAACUGCCUCUAAUACUGUUGUUCUAGAGAGUAGAUGCGGUAGGCGGAAUGUCUGGUGUAGCGGUGAAAUGCUUAGAGAUCAGACAGAACACCGAUUGCGAAGGCAGCUUACCAAUCUAUAUCUGACGUUGAGGCACGAAAGCGUGGGGAGCAAACAGGAUUAGAUACCCCUGUAGUC
rnacentral:rRNA from 1 species